GAAGAUGGCCUUCUUUCAUCACCAUCUGAAGAGGGAGACUUGAGGAGUUGUGGAGAAGGUUCUCCUAUUAUCCAAGGAUCCAACUGGACUGAAGAAGACAACUGGAUAGAGGAACCUUCAGAGCAUAAUCAAGAGGAUGGACUGGCUAGGGCUGUUGAAUUGUUUACAUUGGAAUUAGUAAAACUUAAAACCAAAAUGAAGUGCGCAACUCAUAGGAAAUCCUCUGAAAUUUUGAUCUCUGUUGCCGCGGAGGUACAUAUGCAGCUGCAAACCAUUGAGUCUCAGAUUCAAACAGACAUAGGAAAGCAUACAAACCUCAGUAAAUCAAAGAAAAAAAGGCUGGAAACAAGGUUUGAAGGUACUGAAAGUUGUAUUUCUGAUACUUUCAAUUGAUUAUU